UACGUAGGGUGCAAGCGUUGUCCGGAUUCAUUGGGCGUAAAGCGACCGCAGGCGGCCUGACAAGUCGGAUGUGAAAGCCCUGGGCUCAACUCAGGAAUUGCAUUCGAAACUGGUAGGCUCGAGUACGGGAGAGGGGGGUGGAAUUCCUGGUGUAGGGGUGAAAUUCGUUGAUAUCAGGAGGAACACCGGCGGCGAAGGCGGCCCCCUGGCCCGCAACUGACGCUCAUGGUCGAAAGCGUGGGGAGCAAACAGG
rnacentral:rRNA from 1 species